rnacentral:rRNA from 1 species
AUUGAACGCUGGCGGCAGGCCUAACACAUGCAAGUCGAGCGCGCGGCGGACGGGUGUGUAAUAUCUGGGAAACAGCCUGAUGGAGGGGGGUAACUCCUGUAGACGGUAGCUAAUACCGCAUACCCUCUGAUGUGCCCACAUGGGAUUAGUUAGUAGGGGGGGUAACGGCUCACCUAGGCGACGAUCCCUAGCUGGUCUGAGAGGAUGACCAGCCACACUGGAACUGAGACACGGUCCAGACUCCUACGGGAGGCAGCAGGGGGGAAUAUUGCACAAUGGGCGCAAGCCUGAUGCAGCCAUGCCGCGUGUGUGAAGAAGGCCUUCGGGUUGUAAAGCACUGUCAGCGGGGAGGCGUUACCCGCAGAAGAAGCACCGGCUAACUCCGUGCCAGCAGCCGCGGUAAUUC